rnacentral:rRNA from 1 species
CCUACGGGAGGCAGCAGUGGGGAAUAUUGCACAAUGGGCGAAAGCCUGAUGCAGCAACGCCGCGUGAAGGAAGACGGUUUUCGGAUUGUAAACUUCUGUUCUUAGUGAAGAAUAAUGACGGUAACUAAGGAGCAAGCCACGGCUAACUACGUGCCUGCAGCCGCGGUAAUACGUAGGGGGCAAGCGUUAUCCGGAUUUACUGGGUGUAAAGGGAGCGUAGACGGUGCAGCAAGUCUGAUGUGAAAGGUCGGGGCCCAACCCCGGGACUGCAUUGGAAACUGUUGAACUGGAGUACAGGAGAGGUAAGCGGAAUUCCUAGUGUAGCGGUGAAAUGCGUAGAUAUUAGGAGGAACACCAGUGGCGAAGGCGGCUUACUGGACUGUAACUGACGUUGAGGCUCGAAAGCGUGGGGAGCAAACAGGAUUAGAUACCCGAGUAGUC